GUGAAGGACUUGCUCCGUAAGCACUAGUCGGUCGAAGAUACCAGGUGGCUGCGACUGUUUAUUAAAAACACAGCACUCUGCAAACACGAAAGUGGACGUAUAGGGUGUGACGCCUGCCCGGUGCUUGAAGGUUAAUUGAUGGGGUUAGCGCAAGCGAAGCUCUUGAUCGAAGCCCAAGUAAACGGCGGCCGUAACUAUAACGGUCCUAAGGUAGCGAAAUUCCUUGUCGGGUAAGUUCCGACCUGCACGAAUGGCGUAACGAUGGCCACACUGUCUCCACCCGAGACUCAGUGAAAUUGAAAUCGCAGUGAAGAUGCUGUGUAUCCGCGGCUAGACGGAAAGACCCCGUGAACCUUUACUAUAGCUUCACAGUGAACUUUGAACCUACUUGUGUAGGAUAGGUGGGAGGCUUUGAAGUGCAGACGCCAGUUUGCAUGGAGCCACUCUUGAAAUACCACCCUGGUAUGUUUGAGGUUCUAACUCAGGUCCCUUAUCGGGAUCGAGGACACUGUGUGGUGGGUAGUUUGACUGGGGCGGUCUCCUCCCAAAGAGUAACGGAGGAGCACGAAGGUGUGCUCAGCAUGGUCGGAAAUCAUGCAUAGAGUGUAAAGGCAAAAGCACGCUUAACUGCGAGACAGACACGUCGAGCAGGUACGAAAGUAGGUCUUAGUGAUCCGGUGGUUCUGUAUGGAAGGGCCAUCGCUCAACGGAUAAAAGGUACUCCGGGGAUAACAGGCUGAUACCGCCCAAGAGUUCACAUCGACGGCGGUGUUUGGCACCUCGAUGUCGGCUCAUCACAUCCUGGGGCUGAAGCCGGUCCCAAGGGUAUGGCUGUUCGCCAUUUAAAGUGGUACGCGAGCUGGGUUUAGAACGUCGUGAGACAGUUCGGUCCCUAUCUGCCGUGGACGUUUGAGAUUUGAGAGGAGCUGCUCCUAGUACGAGAGGACCGGAGUGGACGAACCUCUGGUGUUCCGGUUGUCACGCCAGUGGCAUUGCCGGGUAGCUAUGUUCGGACGGGAUAACCGCUGAAAGCAUCUAAGCGGGAAGCCUCCCUUAAGAUAAGAUCUCACUGGGACAUAAGUCCCCUGAAGAGCCGUUCGAGACUAGGACGUUGAUAGGUUGGGUGUGUAAGUGCUGUGA
rnacentral:rRNA from 1 species